AUGAUCAUCCUACAAGACGAGGUGCACGCAGGGGCACCUCAUACCAUGGACUGUCCAUCAAGGGAAAGCUCGUCCUAUCUUCGCUGCCUUUUUUCACCAACCUCUUAAUCUACCUCCUCAACAUUUUUCCUGGAAAGAGAAAAAGACCACCUUCAAACUGCAGUAAAAAAAAAAAGGGAGCUGUAUUCCACUCCUUAAUCCUCCUGGAUUCUCACAGUUUUCUGGAGGACAGCGGGGGUCACCGGGACAGUCAGCCAUGCACUUCCCAUGUCCGUCCGUGAAACAGUGAUUCCACAAUGCUUUGCUAAAGCUGGUAAAAUGGAACCAAAUCACCUCUUGAAAGGAUUUGGUCCCCUUCAACCAGCUGUAGCUAUGCUUUGAAGACUACAGGAGCUCCUUCUGCUGGGACGCCUUCAGCACAGUCACUGUAAUGGCAGCGAGCCACGUCAAGCUGAUGACUUUCUUCUACCAACGACAACUAAAGUGUACAGUAAUUGUCAUGUCUUGUUUUUCAAUAAUAAAGAAACCAAUACCAGCUUCAAAA